UUAUUUUUUCAAGAUCCUUUUUACAAAUUCCAAUUUAUUCUUAAUGUGCAUAUAGAAUUUUAGUUUAACUACAAUCCAUUUACAGUUGCUUCUGCUCUCUCUUCGGUUUCAAUCUCCCUAUAGUAUAGUAGUAUUCUCCUUUUUUUGUUUUUUUUUUUUUUAAGUGAUUUGAAGAGUUGUCAACUCUAGAAUUUCAUUACCUCUACAAAUUAUAUACAUUUUCCUUCGCGCUGGCACUGCCUCCUUUGUCACCAAGGCAUACGGUUUGGAUUUUUUUAAUCGAUUCAUGUUCGGUCGAAAAAUUAAAUGGCCUUUUCUUUUUUUUUUUUCUUUUUUUUCUGUCUGUCCUUGAAUCAUGUUCUUGUUACUUAAUUUUAUUGAAAAUUAGGUUCUUUGAUACAUUGAUGGAGCUACAUGCAAGUCGGGGCAAUUUCUUCCCUAAAUUUAUAGUUAGAAGGUUAUAUGCUCAUUAUGCUUCAACCUUUUUUAUAAAGAAAUAAUACAUAUAACAUAGCAAUCAUUAUUUUAAUUUUACCUACGGAUGCAAGAAUUUAACGUUGGCUAACCCUCCUCCUGUUCAACCUGCCAAAGUCCCAUCCUUAAUUAAUCCAUAUGCAUGCUACAUAAAAAUGUACAAAAUCAAGCCCCAGAGGGCCAGUUCCAUGGUCAGAUACAAUCAUUCAACAAAGACAAGCCCUGGUCCUAACUAGAGUAGCCCAACCCAGCAAUCAAAAACGAGCACGAUGAGACAUUGCCACCAAAUCAGAAACAGAGCAUCGGGAUAUAGGAUUGGGAUUAUGUAGUUUGGCUAGUACCAUGGUAGAAUGCAUGGUAGGUAUGCAAGGCCUGCAAGAGGUGAGAUGGGACCAAUUCACUUGAAGAAGAUGGGGGUAGGGUUAAUUGAGGAAGGGACCAAAUCAAAGAAUCUGAGAGCUGAGGAUCAAGAUCAAAGCUAGGCAGUAUCUGAUGGUUGCUGAGCUCAGGAAUUAAUCUGACAACUUCCCCAGGUACGUUCCAAGACCCAUUACAUUAGCAAUCACAUCUUUUAACUGUUGCUGCCACAAGCUCCAAUUGAAGAACUUGAAAGAAAUUUGACCCAGAUCAGUCUUAAAAUGUAAAUGGGCCCCAAUAGGACUCCAAUUAUCAAACCAGAGUUUCGUGGAAGAACCAUCACAAAUCUUUGUGCUUAAUAAGAGAGUUGACAAUAGGGUUUAUAUUCAGCAGGUAUCUCCAAUUCCAAUAUCAAUUUUGAGGGAUCUUUAUGGUCCAAAUGGGCCUAUCCUUGAUUAGAUUUGUUCAUCCCAGGAAGUUUAGGCAACACAAUCCACCAGAGAGCUUGGGAUAACAUAUGUUGGACCUCUGAGUCUGUGUGAAUGGCCAUGAGAUUUGAAAGAAGUUGAGAAGGAACUGAUUGAAUAAUGAAAUAGAGGGAUGUAUGAAUUACCUGGGAAUUGGUGGGGGUCCUUGCCUUAAACAUUUUGGAAGUAUUGGAGAAUCUCACCUUCCACUAAAUCUCCAUUAUCAAGCUUCCUGGCUAUAUUUGCCACCCCAUACUCUUAUUAUUCCAUGUAUAGAAGAGGCCACUGUAUCUCAAAUCUUCAAUACCUGCAUCAUGCAAGCAUUUACUGAACUGAGUUAUAGCAGCAGAUAUUCUAUUAGAACCCCCAUGAGUUUCACUAGGCCCCUUGAUUGCAUUGAAAUCGCCAAAAAUUAUCCAGGGGAUUGUAAAACAGAUUGAAGAAUGCUGGAUUAGGUUACUCCAGAGAGAUUUUCUCUUCACUGCUGAAAAGGAGACAAAAUACCAUUGGCAUUUUUUUUUUUUCCCCAAAAAUUUGGUGACUAACUUUAGUGAUUACUCGUGUCAGGGGUACCCUUGACUCUGAGUUGGAUGAUGACGAAAUUUUUUCUAGAAGCUGCUCAACAUUUCUUGAAAAUGGAAUGCCCAUACCAGAGCUUAUACACCAUUACACUGCCAUUAUAUGUAUCUAUGUAUCUAUAUAUAUAUGAAGAAUGGCUAAAGCAAGUUCCUUCCCGUUCUUGCUAUGCAAUCUUGUAUCUUUUUAAUUUAUGUGUUAAGAAAUAAGAUGUUGGCAUACUGAUGGAAGAGCUUUUAUGAGGACGGAGAUCGUCUACGGUGUCACCGAGAUGAGAGGUCCCCGUUACACCUUCUUAAGCCAAAACCUCCUUCAGUAGAGAAGCAAACGAGUUCCAAACUGUAUUGUCAAAAGUGCAAGUGAGAAAAAGAUAAUCAGAAUCUCCCCAGCAAUUGUGACAGAUUGAGACUAUUCUGAAAUGCUAGAGCCUAGUUCACAAGCACAACCUUCACUCAACCUUAACCCUUAGGGCCAAGUUACCACUCACUUCCACCUUCACGGUUAAAUUCAACCUUCACAGUAGCUUCGCAUUUUCUGGCUUGACUGGGUAUGUGGUGGUGGAAUGAGCGAGAAUAUAAGAGAGAAAAUGAGAGAAUUAGGCUUUGUUUGGGACCAAAGGUUUUAUACACUUGAAUUUUCCUCCCAAAUACCAUGAGAAGAACAAAUUUUAAAUAAAAAAAAAAAAAAAAAGUUUAACUUAGAACAAAUUUAAAUAAAAAAAAAACAGUUUAACUUGGAGCCUUGCAACUCCUUACCUUAAGAAAUCUUUAUAGACUAUAGUUUCCCUUAAAAUGUACCAAACUAAACCUUAAAGGUGCCAUAUUUCAUUCAGGAUGCACUCUAGAACUGAGCAUACGCCGCAUCCCCAUAUCAAGUACCAAUAGUUGUUGGAAAGAUUUGAGACUUUUGGGCGGAUGUACGCUCUGAAUACUGGAUAAGGAAGAUGACUCGAUGACUAUAGAUUGUCAAGAGAGAUAUGAGAAGAGAGUCAAGUCCAUGUACUCGAUGGGCUGUUACUUUUUGCCCUCAGAAAUAGUAGAGGAUGUAGAUCUUUUGAUCAGAAGGGCUGAGAGAUGCUUGCUAGCCGACAUGAUAAUGAUUGAUGCCGAUGAUGCCUGCAAGGAUGAUUAUUCUGUAUGGUAAACAUUAUUGCAAAGAUUGUCGGGCGUCUUGGUCUUGAGAAGACAAUGUUUGAAGCAUCAAAUUCCAAACCCUCUGUUUGGUUUAUUAGACAAUAUGGUCCCAGGGUGAACCUUCUUGUGGAUCACUCUCAAGUGAUGGAUCUGGAAUGUGUUCGAGGUUGCAACCUUGGUAAAAAUCACACAUCUGUUCUUGGUUUGUCCGCAGUGGAACUGGUUAUGCUAAACUGGCGCCAAAUAUAUAUAGUCCGCAGUGGAACUGUUUAUGCUUUGUAAUUGUCCUGUGUUAUUUUGUAUGUGUUUGCCUUUGUUCAUAUAUAAUUUUUACUUCUGUAUUAGUACUCUUAUUUGCUCUUAGUAACAUCUUCAUGUUAUUGCAAACCAUGUAGAUUUAAUCUGUAACAUAACCUUUUGUUUCCAUAGUUGA